rnacentral:rRNA from 1 species
AUGCCCAUCUUCUGCUAUAUGAGGUCUUUCGUCCAAGAAAAAAAAAUCAGAAGCAAGCUCACGGGACGAAACUCUGCCGCCACGAGGCGGAACCUUGGCGGAACCAAUCUAGGGCUCCGGCGGAGCUGUUCUGCCGGGGAAACUUCCCUCCGGGAGGGGGAAAUCAUCGCCAUCGUCACCACCAACGAUCCUCUCAUCGGGAGGGGGGUCAAUCUCCAUCAACAUCUUCACCAGCACCAUCUCAUCUCAAACCCUAGUUCAUCUCUUGUAUCUAAUGUUUUUAUCCAUACCUUAGAUUGGUACCUGUGGGUUGCUAGUAGUGUUAAUUACUCCUUUUAG